GGAUUGGAGCUGAGAUUAGAUUAGGUGUUAGGGUUAGAGGCUGGGGUUGGGUUUGGAGCUGAGAUUAGAUUAGGUGUUAGGGUUAGAGGCUGGAGUUGGGGUUGGAGCUGAGAUUAGAUUAGGUGUUAGGGUUAGAGGCUGGGGUUGGAGCUGAGAUUAGAUUAGCUGUUAGGGUUAGAGGCUGAGGUUGGAGCUGAGAUUAGAUUAGGUGUUAGGGUUAGAGGCUGGGGUUGGAGCUGAGAUUAGAUUAGGUGUUAGGGUUAGAGGUCAGAGUUGAGAUAAGAUUAGGUGUUAGGGUUAAAGGUUAGA
ensembl:lncRNA